ACUGUAAAAAAAUUGUCAUUAAAUGAAGAGUGUCUAUUAAACAAUGGAUGUUUUGUCAAAAGAAAGGGAUUUAGAUGCAUUGUGGCCAAUUUUUCAACGCA